GAAGGACGCGACAAGCUGCGAAAAGCUGCGGCGAGGGGCAAAUGCCCUGUGACCCGCAGAUGUCCGAAUGGGGAAACCCGGCGGGAGCGAUCCCGUCACCACACUCAUUAAAGAGGUGGGGCGAACGCGGGGAACUGAAACAUCUCAGUACCCGCAGGAAGAGAAAAUAAUAAUGAUUGCGCAAGUAGUGGCGAGCGAACGCGCAAGAGCCCAAACCGUGGAGGUCGCAAGGCUUCACACGGGGUUGUAGGACCGGCGACGGUGUUGAAUGACACUUGUAGCAGAACAUGUUGGAAAGCAUGACCAUAGCGGGUGAUAGUCCCGUACGCGAAACAGGGGUUAUUCGAUCAGCCGGCACCUGAGUACCGCGGAACACGUGAAAUUCUGUGGGAAUCAGCGGGGCCCAUCCCGCAAGGCUAAAUACUACCGAGAGACCGAUAGCGCACAAGUACCGUGAGGGAAAGGUGAAAAGAACCUCGAGCAGAGGAGUGAAACAGACCCUGAAACCGUGCGCCUACAAGGCCUACAAGCGGUCGGAGCCACCUUGAGUGGUGACGGCGUGCCUUUUGCAUAAUGAACCUACGAGUUGCCGUCGCCGGCGAGGUUAAGUGGUAGCAGCCACGGAGCCGCAGCGAAAGCGAGUCCGAACAGGGCGUAUAGAUAGUCGGCGGAGGCAGACGCGAAACCAAGUGAUCUACCCUUGGCCAGGAUGAAGGACGGGUGACUCCGUCUGGAGGUCCGCACCGGCAAGCGUUGAAAAGCUUUCGGAUGAGCUGAGGGUAGGAGUGAAAGGCCAAUCAAACUUGGAGAUAGCUCGUACUCCCCGAAAUGUAUUUAGGUGCAGCCUCGGGACAGGUUAGCGGAGGUAGAGCGACCGAUAGGAUGCGAGGGCUUCACCGCCUAUCAAGUCCUGCCGAACUCCGAAUGCCGCAGAACCGAUUCCCGGGAGUAAGGGCGUGGGUGCUAAGGUCCACGUCCGAGAGAGGAACAACUCAGACCACCGUCUAAGGCCCCGAAAUCCGGGCUAAGUUGAAGACAAUAACGAAGUGCGGCCGCAGAGACAGCCAGGAUGUUGGCUUGGAAGCAGCCAUUCAUUUAAAGAGUGCGUAACAGCUCACCGGUCGAGCGGCCGCGCAUGGAUAAUAAUCGGGCAUAAGUCCGGUGCCGAAGACGUGGAAUGACGCAUAAUAGCGUCAUUGGUAGGGGAGCAUUCCAGUAUAGCGUUGAAGGUGUGCCUUGAGGCAUGUUGGAGCCACUGGAAAAGCAAAUGUAGGUAUAAGUAACGAUAAAGGAGGUGCGAACCCUCCUCGCCGUAAGACCAAGGUUUCCUGAUCAACGCCAGUCGGAUCAGGGUCAGCCGGGACCUAAGCCGCAACCCGCGAGGGGAAGGCGAUGGAAGAGGCGGUUAAUAUUCCGCCGCUGCGUACAGCUGCGAUGGAGAGACGUGGAAGUGACACGCCCGCGGACAGACGGAAUUGUCCGUUUAAGGGGAGUAGGUUAUGAGGGAGAUAGGCAAAUCCGUCUUCCGAGCCGAACCCUGAAAGUAUGGAGCGUCUUCGGACAAUCCAAUAGAGGCGGUAAGCCUGCCACCGAGAAAAUCUUCUAAGCAUCAGGCUGCAUGCACCCGUACCGUAAACCGACACAGGUGGUCGGGUAGAGUAUACCAAGGCGCUCGAGAGAUUCAUGGUUAAGGAACUAGGCAAAUUGACCCCGUAACUUCGGGAUAAGGGGUCCCCCUGAUUAGGUUCAGGGGGCGCAGAGAAUCGGUCCAGGCAACUGUUUAACAAAAACACAGGGCUGUGCUAAGCUGCAAGGCGAUGUAUACAGUCUGACACCUGCCCGGUGCCGGAAGGUUAAGAGGAGGCGUCAACCCUUUUUUGGGGUGCAGCGCUGAAUUGAAGCCCCGGUAAACGGCGGCCGUAACUAUAACGGUCCUAAGGUAGCGAAAUUCCUUGUCGGGUAAGUUCCGACCUGCACGAAUGGUGUAAUG
rnacentral:rRNA from 1 species